UACGUAGGGUGCAAGCGUUAAUCGGAAUUACUGGGCGUAAAGCGUGCGCAGGCGGUUGUGCAAGACAGGGGUGAAAUCCCCGAGCUUAACUUGGGAACUGCCUUUGUGACUGCAUAGCUAGAGUGUGUCAGAGGGGGGUAGAAUUCCACGUGUAGCAGUGAAAUGCGUAGAGAUGUGGAGGAAUACCGAUGGCGAAGGCAGCCCCCUGGGAUAACACUGACGCUCAUGCACGAAAGCGUGGGGAGCAAACAGG
rnacentral:rRNA from 1 species